UAAUUCCUGUCUUUCACCAGGACCAACGGUACUGUUGCUCUAGCUACAGGAAUAAUCCUGGGCAGCACUUGUUGACCUUGGUCACUGUCAAGGGAAGAUCGGCUGUUCCCACUGAGGGCAUCUUGAUGGAUUAAGGUGAUCAGCUGAUCAAUGUGAGGGGACAGAUGGGAGCUAGGAACUGUCUCGGUACUGAGUCAUUUUUCAUCUAAUGUGCAAGAAACCCAAAGAGCACAUCAAACAGCGAACUACGCCUAAGCUAUCCAUGUUUCUCCUGCUUCUUCUGAGAGGGUGAUUUACACGUAGCUCAACACUCGAGUGUUGCAGUAUCGAGUGACUGCAACCAAACAAUGGAACAUGCAUCGUGCCUGUUGACAGAGCCUGCAGUUGGCUUGGAACCGGGACCAUGCUGCAUUCGACAUCGUUCCUGGUGGCUGACUUGUUCCCAUAGAAUUAAAUGCUAGGCAUCCAGAAGCUGACUGUGCAUCUGAUGGGCUCACUAACAUUCAGGAACAGGUUGGCCUCAGACUUCAUCAAUGGAAAGUGAGCUGAAGUCUUUCUGUUUACAAAUUUGCCAAUUUCCUUUGAGGAAGCUUGAUCACGGAGCUCUUCUGCAUCAGGUGAUUGAUGCCCUGCAGGUACUUCAAGCAACAUCAUGCAUAUCAAACCUGCCCUCUGCCUGGACUGUUUACAGCUGCCUUUUUGCUAGCUGAACUGCCUGACACUUCGGCUCAAAGACUCAUUUAUCACUGAGGGCGCAUGCCGUUAUCUGAGCACCUUCCGAAGCAUCACACGCCAUCUCUAGACUUCCUGGGAUUGUCUACGGAUACAACACUUGCUCUCAUAAGUUGGUUACAUAAACAUAAAAGAAUGAACUUUAAACUAAAAUUUCUGACUUUUAUCUCUUUGCAGUGUAGGCAUAGGACAAAAAAAAGAGCACGUUUGAAAGACUACAUUUUCAUGAAAUUGGAAAUGCUACAUGCAAGCUGCAGAUGCUGAUUGCAGAGUCAGAAGACAUGGCCGUCAGUGUUAGGACUCUGCCUUAUUCUGCUAUUUCUCCUUGACGACCUACAGUUUGCAUUGUGAGCCACCUAGAACAUGGAUGCAAGCUGGAACUUUGACGUUGUCUUGGGGAUAAAAGUUAAACAAAGAAGUGGAUUCUUCAGUCCUGACGCGUAAGUCACUGAGAGCAGCCAGCUUUGCCAGCUCCCUGAACGUUCUGCUGCCUCCUUGCCCAGAACGGUGUUUGGUGUCGUGUCCCCUUGCCUUCUUGUUUGACCGUAGAGUUGGCAAAACAGGUUGACCAACAUGACUGCCUGCUAUAAAUGUGGUAUGAGACAUUUCU
rnacentral:lncRNA from 1 species